UAUAGCGUAACAAUGACUCAUACAUUACGUGUUUACCUUUCUCAAUGAGUUUCUAUUUUAUAAAAUAUUCGAAGCUAAUUUAUACAUUAGGCACUGUCUUCGUUGGGUUUUUAUACGUCUACUACGUCUACUAUCUACGGCUUUAACUGAUUCUUGAUUGCGCAAUACAAGAUCGGCGUGAGCGACUGUCACUAGACUGUCUACAAUAGACCUUUUUGUUUUGUGUGCGUUAUGCUAGCUGAUAGUGUUUGGAGGGUGAAGGAAGACACCAACGCCUGUUCAUUGUAUGAUUAAAUGUGGUGCGCGGGCGCAGAGGGGUUACUGCGCCGCCGCCGUGACGAGACUUGACAGACAUAAAUCAAUUGUCAAAACCGCCAGCGCACUAAUCUUGAGAGACUAAUAGCGCGCGACGAUCGACGUAUGGACACGCUCUAAAAAAUCUCUGUGAUUGCAAGUGUUUCUUCAAUGAUUUUGCUGACUAAGUCAGUAACCACUGUUCCGCUAGUACAUGAAUCUAGAAAAGAAUCUCCCGACUCUAACCCUCCGUUUAUGGAAAACAAACAAAAAAUUCGGUAAGAUGUA